rnacentral:rRNA from 1 species
AUAAUGGGUCAGCGACUUAUAUUCUGUAGCAAGGUUAACCGAAUAGGGGAGCCGAAGGGAAACCGAGUCUUAACUGGGCGUUAAGUUGCAGGGUAUAGACCCGAAACCCGGUGAUCUAGCCAUGGGCAGGUUGAAGGUUGGGUAACACUAACUGGAGGACCGAACCGACUAAUGUUGAAAAAUUAGCGGAUGACUUGUGGCUGGGGGUGAAAGGCCAAUCAAACCGGGAGAUAGCUGGUUCUCCCCGAAAGCUAUUUAGGUAGCGCCUCGUGAAUUCAUCUCCGGGGGUAGAGCACUGUUUCGGCAAGGGGGUCAUCCCGACUUACCAACCCGAUGCAAACUGCGAAUACCGGAGAAUGUUAUCACGGGAGACACACGGCGGGUGCUAACGUCCGUCGUGAAGAGGGAAACAACCCAGACCGCCAGCUAAGGUCCCAAAGUCAUGGUUAAGUGGGAAACGAUGUGGGAAGGCCCAGACAGCCAGGAUGUUGGCUUAGAAGCAGCCAUCAUUUAAAGAAAGCGUAAUAGCUCACUGGUCGAGUCGGCCUGCGCGGAAGAUGUAACGGGGCUAAACCAUGCACCGAAGCUGCGGCAGCGACGCUGAUGCGUUGUUGGGUAGGGGAGCGUUCUGUAAGCCUGUGAAGGUGUGCUGUGAGGCAUGCUGGAGGUAUCAGAAGUGCGAAUGCUGACAUAAGUAACGAUAAAGCGGGUGAAAAGCCCGCUCGCCGGAAGACCAAGGGUUCCUGUCCAACGUUAAUCGGGGCAGGGUGAGUCGACCCCUAAGGCGAGGCCGAAAGGCGUAGUCGAUGGGAAACAGGUUAAUAUUCCUGUACUUGGUGUUACUGCGAAGGGGGGACGGAGAAGGCUAUGUUGGCCGGGCGACGGUUGUCCCGGUUUAAGCGUGUAGGCUGGUUUUCCAGGCAAAUCCGGAAAAUCAAGGCUGAGGCGUGAUGACGAGGCACUACGGUGCUGAAGCAACAAAUGCCCUGCUUCCAGGAAAAGCCUCUAAGCAUCAGGUAACAUCAAAUCGUACCCCAAACCGACACAGGUGGUCAGGUAGAGAAUACCAAGGCGCUUGAGAGAACUCGGGUGAAGGAACUAGGCAAAAUGGUGCCGUAACUUCGGGAGAAGGCACGCUGAUAUGUAGGUGAAGUCCCUCGCGGAUGGAGCUGAAAUCAGUCGAAGAUACCAGCUGGCUGCAACUGUUUAUUAAAAACACAGCACUGUGCAAACACGAAAGUGGACGUAUACGGUGUGACGCCUGCCCGGUGCCGGAAGGUUAAUUGAUGGGGUCAGCGCAAGCGAAGCUCUUGAUCGAAGCCCCGGUAAACGGCGGCCGUAACUAUAACGGUCCUAAGGUAGCGAAAUUCCUUGUCGGGUAAGUUCCGACCUGCACGAAUGGCGUAAUGAUGGCCAGGCUGUCUCCACCCGAGACUCAGUGAAAUUGAACUCGCUGUGAAGAUGCAGUGUACCCGCGGCAAGACGGAAAGACCCCGUGAACCUUUACUAUAGCUUGACACUGAACAUUGAGCCUUGAUGUGUAGGAUAGGUGGGAGGCUUUGAAGUGUGGACGCCAGUCUGCAUGGAGCCGGCCUUGAAAUACCACCCUUUAAUGUUUGAUGUUCUAACGUUGACCCGUGAUCCGGGUUGCGGACAGUGUCUGGUGGGUAGUUUGACUGGGGCGGUCUCCUCCUAAAGAGUAACGGAGGAGCACGAAGGUUGGCUAAUCCUGGUCGGACAUCAGGAGGUUAGUGCAAUGGCAUAAGCCAGCUUGACUGCGAGCGUGACGGCGCGAGCAGGUGCGAAAGCAGGUCAUAGUGAUCCGGUGGUUCUGAAUGGAAGGG